AAUAAGUGAUGAAAAAAACGUUUUGGUUCCAACUAAUGUCUUGUGAUAACUUAAAUUUUUCUGAUGUU